ensembl:snRNA U1 U1 spliceosomal RNA
GUACUUACCUGGCAGGAAAGAUACCAUGAUCACAAAGGUGAUUUCACCAGGGCAAAGCUUAUUCAUUGCACUCUGAAGGUGCUAAACCCUGCAAUGCCCCCAAAGGUGGAAAACUCAACUGCGUGAUUUGUGGUAGUGGGGGACUGAGUUCGUGCUUUCCCCUG